rnacentral:rRNA from 1 species
UACGUAGGGCGCAAGCGUUAUCCGGAAUUAUUGGGCGUAAAGAGCUCGUAGGCGGUGUGUCGCGUCGGUCGUGAAAACUUGGGGCUUAACCCUGAGCUUGCGGUCGAUACGGGCAUCACUGGAGUUCGGCAGGGGAGACUGGAAUUCCUGGUGUAGCGGUGAAAUGCGCAGAUAUCAGGAGGAACACCAAUUGCGAAGGCAGCACUCUGGGACGUGACUGACGCUGAGACGCGAAAGCGUGGGGAGCAAACAGG